rnacentral:misc_RNA from 1 species
AUCUCUCAACUACAUCAAUCAUUCUGGUUUGGUGUAGCCUUUGGAUGUGGGGGUUUUAUUUUGCUGGCCUCUAUUAAACGAGGUCAGCUCCCCUGAAAUUUAUUAGCGGUAUCUGAGCAGAGACCUACUACAGGUGUGAUAAAUUAUCUAUGCCUUGGUAAUGCUGCAUCAACAGAUUGUGCUGCUUCCAGUGAAUCAUUUGACAA